rnacentral:rRNA from 1 species
AUUGAACGCUGGCGGCAUGCUUUACACAUGCAAGUCGAACGGCAGCGCGGGCUUCGGCCUGGCGGCGCGUGGCGAACGGGUGAGUAAUACAUCGGAACGUGCCCAGUAGUGGGGGAUAGCUCGGCGAAAGCCGGAUUAAUACCGCAUACGACCUGAGGGUGAAAGCGGGGGAUCUUCGGACCUCGCGCUAUUGGAGCGGCCGAUGGCAGAUUAGCUAGUUGGUGGGGUAAAGGCCUACCAAGGCGACGAUCUGUAGCUGGUCUGAGAGGACGACCAGCCACACUGGGACUGGGACGCGGCCCAGACUCCUACGGGAGGCAGCAGUGGGGAAUUUUGGACAAUGGGCGAAAGCCUGAUCCAGCAGUGCCGCGUGUGUGAUGAAGGCCUUCGGGUUGUAAAGCACUUUUGGCGGGAACGAAAAGGACUGUGCCAAUACCACGGUUCGAUGACGGUACCCGCAGAAUAAGCACCGGCUAACUACGUG